rnacentral:rRNA from 1 species
UACGUAGGGGGCUAGCGUUGUCCGGAAUCAUUGGGCGUAAAGCGCGUGUAGGCGGCCACACAGGUCCGUUGUGAAAACUCGAGGCUUAACCUCGAGACGUCGAUGGAAACCGUAUGGCUAGAGUCCGGAAGAGGAGAGUGGAAUUCCUGGUGUAGCGGUGAAAUGCGCAGAUAUCAGGAAGAACACCCGUGGCGAAGGCGGCUCUCUGGGACGGUACUGACGCUGAGACGCGAAAGCGUGGGGAGCGAACAGG